rnacentral:lncRNA from 1 species
ACGUGGCUGGGAGAGCUGCAGAAGUGCCGAGUCCCGGCCGGGGGCAGCCUCGCCGCCGCUCAGCUCGGGAAUCCCUGCCCCCCACCAGCACCUCAGUGGGGGAUACUGCAAGUUCAAGGUGGUUUAAGGCGUGAAUGAAUGAAGGAGCAAGCAGUAAGCCCCGACAGCAAGGCCACCACAGCCCUCGCCCCACAGGGACGCCUGAGCAAGGACCCAAGCAGGGGACAAGCAGGCUCACCCCGCCCUUGCGGGGCUGACCACGAGGCCCCGUCCGGUGGAACACGCCAUGACGCUUCAGGAGGCUCAUGUAGCUGGCGCCGUAUGGGACAGCGGGGGAGAGAGAAAAUGCACAGCCCAGGGAAUGUGGAGACAGGCCCAGCGCCAGGCAUGGGGGCCGGAAGGAGCAGCCGGGGAGCAGGGGGCAGGGCCUGGAGUCCCGCCUUGCAGAUCUGAACCUGCCCCAGCCCCAGGACUCUGAGUGCAGCAAGAGGGGAGCCGGGCUGGAGAGUGGGGAGCACGGAGACUGUGGCCUGGAUGGUGCCAGAGCAAACAGGAGAGAGGCUGCCCAACGCAGAGGCUGCAGCACAGACCAGAGGGUCCCGGGGCUGACUGGGUGGGGGCAGCUCCCAGCGAGAGGCCCCUGGGAUUUGGGUAAGUAGAGGCACAUGCAGACUCUGGCCACAGGGCACCUCGCGCACGAGGGGAGUUCACCACACAAGCUGAGCGGAGGGCGGACGCAGGAGAGCAGCGGUUUCUCGGAAGCCAAGGGCGGUCAUGGAGCCCCACGCCACAGCGCUUCCCACGGGGCCACACCAUCCGGUCUGCGGAGGGGGCUGCAUUGCCGGGAAGGACCAUCUGAUUCUGGAUUCCAGCCUCACCCUGGGCCACCGCUGAGUGUCCCAAGUGGCCCCUUAGCCCCCAGGGCCAGGCGGCAUCCCAAUCCCCUAGGGAUGUCUGUGCUCAGAAUGUGGCACACACGCCCCGGCAGGGCCAUCCUCCUCCUCCUGCACCCGCCACAGCCGUGGAUUCGGGGUCUCUAUCGUGGGCAGAAAUUCACACAGUCAAGGUGAGGGUCCCAGGAGCAGCUGUGACCAGGCCCCGGCUGCCAGGGAGAGGGGGUCUUCAGCCGACGGGGCAGACACCCUGAGAUGGACCCUUGUCCAGGGGAGGGCCCUGCCACCCACAAUUCCUUGGCAUUCCUGCACCAGCAGGACGGGCUGAGGGAGGCGCCUCACCAGUGCCAGCGCCCAGCAUCACUGUGCCCCGGUGGAGGGGGAGGCCCUUCCGAGCCUGGGCCUGGGUGUGGAUGAGGGCAGGUCUCUCACCUCUCUGACCUCAGCUUCCUCAACUGGGAAGGGGGGCCACAGCACCCCCUUAGGGGUGAUGAGGAAGUGGGAGCUCAGGGAGGACCCCGGGCAGGGCUGCCUCCUCACCUCUCUUCGGCCUUUGGACACUGGAGCUCAGAGGACCAAGUGAAUGAAUGAAUGACUCGAUCAAUCAACUGAUCCAUGAAUCCAUGGACCCCUGAACAGCUGGACAGCUGGGCUGUGGGCAGGACAGGGGACUCUGGCUGAAGCCGCGUUCAUAUGUGUUCAGCUUUGUGAGUGGGGCGAGGUUGAGGGCUUAUUCAGUGGGGGAGGUGCACGGCAGGGCCAGUACCCUUGGAGGGUCAGGCCACAGGGGCGGGGACACCUGCCAGGAUGCCCAACCCCAGAGGCAGUGGGAGCUGUUGGGGAGCCGUGGUCCCAGUCAGCGGUGGCUUGAUGAGGGCUGCUCCCACUUCAUCCGCAGGAUUCCAGCCGCAGCUACCCCACACCCGAGCUGUCCCUAGUCGCCCACCGCGGCCGGACAAAGCCCCAGCAGCCAAGGUGCUCCGUGGGGAGGGUUUCUUGGGUUUCUUGAAGCCAGUAUUUCCCAUAGUAUCUUACGUCCCAGCAGAGGCCUCCACUGUGCCCGGACCAGCGGCCCACUCAGUGAGUCGAGUGUGCACCUGGCACCCCUCUUUCUGGAAAUCCACGAACAAUGGGCUCCCAGCAGAGGACUGAGGCUGAGCAGGCCACUUCCCUGGAGCUGACCCCACAGCUGUGUAGGUACAGGGUGGCCGUGAACACUUAGGGCUCUCUCGGGCUGUGCGCUUCUUGUUCACUGCAAGGAGCAGGGUGUUGGCUCCUGACCAAGCCCUGUCACUGCUGCCCAGCCACACGUGGGGCCCCUUCACCCACCCCUGACCACCUCAUGCAGGUGAAGCCACUGUGGAAACAGCCUGGCAGUCCCUUGAAAAAUGAAGUCAUAAACCCCAGCAAUUGCACUCCUGGGCCUCUGACAGAGCUUGCACGUCCCCUCCAAAGCUCGUGUUAAGCUGUGAGCCCCAGUGCCGGAGGUGGGGCCUGGUGUGUUUGGGUUCUGGGGGUGGAUCCCUCAUGGCUGGGUGCCAUGAACCCACUCACCACAGUGAGUUCUCACGAGAUCUGGUUGUUGAGAAGUGUGUCAUACCUCCCCCACAACUCUCUGUCUUUUGUUCCGGCUCUGGCAAUGUAACAAGCCUGCUCCUCCUUCGCCUUCUGCCAUGACUGUAAGCUUUCUGAGGGCUGACCAGAAGCCCAGCAGAUGCCAGCACCAUGCUUCCUAUACAGCCUGCAGAACCGUGAGCCAGCUAAACCUCUCCUCAUAAAUCACCGAGCCCCAGGUUUAUCUUUACAGCAAUGCAAGACCUGACUAAUACAGCACCAGCUCCCCAAAAUAAAAAGAAAUAUUCAAACAAAUAAGCGCACAGAAGUGUUCCCAGCAGCACUAUUCACAGCAGCCAAAAGGCGGAGGAGCCACAGGCUUGUCAGCUGAUGACAGAUAAAGAAAGCAUGGCCUGUCAUCCCAGCACUUUGGGAGGCCGAGGUGGGUGGAUCACCUGAGGUUGGGAGUUCAAGACCAGCCUGGCCAACAUGGUGAAACCCAGUCUCUACUAAAAAUAUAAAAAUUAGCUGGGUGUGAUGAUGAGC